GGCACCGGUUGGCUAUCCGAUCGGUAUGCUUGUUUCAGUGUCUACCAAAACAAUGCUCUAGACCUUAAUGCGAAGGAUGCCCUUCCUUUGUUAAGUCAGAAGCACACUGAUUCUGCACGCAGGACGCAAGUCUUGCACUCAAUGCAGCAGUCACACCUAGUGUGAACUCAUUGAGAGCUGAGUCAAGGCGAAAGCCAGGUGCUUUGCAUGAAGACCUUUCCUGUAUCUGAAAUCAAGCAAGACUAC
rnacentral:misc_RNA from 1 species